rnacentral:rRNA from 1 species
UGGUGGAGUGAUUUGUCUGGUUAAUUCCGUUAACGAACGAGACCUCGACCUGCUAAAUAGACUUGAUAUAUCUUUGAUAUGUCAAGAUACUUCUUAGAGGGACUAUCGGUGAAUAGCCGAUGGAAGUUCGAGGCAAUAACA